rnacentral:rRNA from 1 species
GAUGAACGCUGGCGGCGUGCUUAACACAUGCAAGUCGAACGAAGCGGCUUUACGGAAGUUUUUGGAUGGAAGUGAGGUUGACUGAGUGGCGGACGGGUGAGUAACGCGUGGGUAACCUGCCUCAUACAGGGGGAUAACAGUUAGAAAUGACUGCUAAUACCGCAUAAGCGCACAGUACCGCAUGGUACAGUGUGAAAAACUCCGGUGGUAUGAGAUGGACCCGCGUCUGAUUAGCUAGUUGGUGAGGUAACGGCCCACCAAGGCGACGAGCGGUCGCCGACCUGAGAGAGUGACCGGCAACAUUGGGACAGAGACACGGCCCAAACUCCUACGGGAGGCAGCAGUUGGGAAUAUUGCACAAUGGGCGAAAGCCUGAUGCAGCGACGCCGCGUGAGCGAAGAAGUAUUUCGGUAUGUAAAGCUCUAUCAGCAGGGAAGAUAAUGACGGUACCUGACUAAGAAGCCCCGGCUAACUACGUGCCAGCAGCCGCAGUAAUAC